CCUACGGGUGGCAGCAGUAGCGAAUCUUCCACAUUGGGCGCAAGCCUGAUGGAGCAACACCGCGGUAGUUAAGUAGGGUUUCGGCUCGUACAGCUCUGUUGUUGGAGAAGAACGUUCGUGAGAGUAAAUGUUCACGCAGUGACGGUAUCCAACCAGAAAGUCACGGAUAACUACGUGGCAGCAGCCGCGGUAAUACGUAGGUGGCAAGCUUUAUCCGGAAUUAUUGGGCGUAAGGCGAGCGCAGGCGGUUGCUUAGGUCUGAUGUGAAAGCCUUCGGCUUAACCGAAGAAGUGCAUCGGAAACCGGGCGACUUGAGUGCAGAAGAGGGCAGUGGAACUCCAUGUGUAGCGGUGGAAUGCGUAGAUAUAUGGAAGAACACCAGUGGCGAAGGCGGCUGUCUGGUCUGCAACUGACGCUGAGGCUCGAAAGCAUGGGUAGCGAACAGGAUUAGAUACCCUGGUAGUC
rnacentral:rRNA from 1 species